rnacentral:rRNA from 1 species
UGGUAGUCCACGCCGUAAUCGGUGGGCACUAGGUGUGGGCAACAUUCCACGUUGUCCGUGCCGCAGCUAACGCAUUAAGUUCCCCGCCUGGGGAGUACGGCCGCAAGGCUAAAACUCAAAGGAAUUGACGGGGGCCCGCACAAGCGGCGGAGCAUGUGGCUUAAUUCGACGCAACGCGAAGAACCUUACCAAGGCUUGACAUACACCCGAAAACCCUGGAGACAGGGUCCCCCUUGUGAUCGGUGUACAGGUGGUGCAUGGCUGUCGUCCGCUCGUGUCGUGAGUUGUUGGGUUAAGUCCCGCAACGAGCGCAACCCUUGUCCCGUGUUGCCAGCAGGCCCUUGUGGUGCUGGGGACUCACGGGAGACCGCCGGGGUCAACUCGGAGGAAGGUGAGGACGACGUCAAGUCAUCAUGCCCCUUAUGUCUUGGGCUGCACACGUACUACAAUGGCCGGUACAAUGAGCUGCGAUACCGCGAGGUGGAGCGAAUCUCAAAAAGCCGGUCUCAGUUCGGAUUGGGGUCUGCAACUCGACCCCAUGAAGUCGGAGUCGCUAGUAAUCGCAGAUCAGCAUUGCUGCGGGGAAUACGUUCCCGGGCCUUGUACACACCGCCCGUCACGUCAC